AUGGCAAUGCUCCAUCAUACAAGACAAUAUGUUACAGACACCCAAAGGGAUACAUGGAGAAGACAAGGGGAGGACGGGUCAGCAGCUGACACCGUGGGCAUGGCAUUGGUUUUUACAGAACCAGAGUCUGAACUGGAUGCAGGACUGUACAUAUGCCACGUCUCGUACCACCACCACAUGGCUAAAGUUUUCAUUCGGGUGGAUGUAACUAGUGAAGAGACUCAACACAUGAUAUUCAUCACUAUUUGCUUCUCGUCAGCCGCUGCAAUCACCCUCAUCCUGAUUAUCAUUUUGGUUGUCCUCUGCAAAAGUGGGAGUAGUCACUCAUCACAAAAGAAGAAAGACAGGAGAGAGCGUGAGUCUCUAGCUGCUCUAAUGCAGGACCCUCGCUGCCCAGACAAGACUGUGAUUCCAGGCACGGCUGGGCCGCACUAUGCUGAGCUUGUGCACUAUUCCAUUGUUUUUGAUGCUAAAAGCACCGUGUGACACACCUGUUGAAUUUUAUGACCGUAAUAUAUACGUUUUUGCACAUACUUGUGGAGUUCAUCACAGCUUGAGUGCAUUAAAAGGGGGACAUGUUUAAGAAAUGAAUUCAUUUUCAGUCAGAUUGUUAUGCUGAUAAUGUAACUGGUAAUGGAAAAAAGAAAAUGAACAUUUGCUGAAAGUUUACUCAACCUAAGGCCAUCCAAGAUUUUAGAUGAAUUGUUUCAUCUGAACAGAUUUGGAGAAAUUUAGUUUUACACCAAUGGAUCCCCUGCAGUGAAUGGGUGCCGUCAGAAUGAGAGUCCAAACAGCUGAUAAAAACAUCACAAUAAUCCACACGUAAUCCACACGACUCCAGUCCAUCACUUAACAUCUUGUGAAGUGAAAACCUGCGUGUUUGUAAUAAACACAUCCAUCAGGUUUCUCCAGAUCUGUUCCGAUGAAGAAACAACUCAUCUACAUUAGAUGGCCUGAGGGUGAGUAAAUUUUAAGCAAAUGUUUAUUUUUGGAUGAACUAUUCCUUUAAUAAGAAUAUUUCACUAGUGGUCUCAGGGGUUUUGGACCCCACUGUAUAUACACAUUGCAAUUGGUGUUUUUGAUAUGUAGCUGUUCUUUUUCCUCAAUUACAAAUACCAAUUGUAAGGAAAAUGAAGUAGCUUGGUAUUACUUUCAGCAUUAUGAUUUACUUUGAUAAGUAGCAUUGUUUUAUAAAAAUAUUAUAAGCACAUUUUCAAUGUUUUACUACUUUUUAGGAUUGUUCUGAUUUACACAGAUGUUCUGAUAUGUUCUUCUUUACACAGAGAUAUACUUUAAAAAUCUGGCUGGUGUCUUCUAUCUUGUUUCCAUUCCAAUUGAACUUGUAGCACACAAACUGACUGAAUUUGUAACGCUGUAGCGCCCUCUGGUGAUCAUACAGUAAAUAGUGGGGGAAUCCACAUCUGGUCCUGGUGAGUCCAGUCUGAUAUUUUAGUUAUAAGAUUGUACUGUUUUCACAGUCUUUGUUACAACGACGACUGAUCUUCCUUUGUGUUGCUCUAAGAUGUUUAGGCAUCUCCGGGGUAAAUAAUGUGACUGUGACACUUGUAAAAAAUACAAUAAAAUACUUGACAAGUUUAAAUACUUAUCGAGUCUGUUUGUUUAUCAGGUAAACACUAUUUAUAAUCAUAAAA
rnacentral:lncRNA from 1 species